AGAGUUUGAUCAUGGCUCAGAAUGAACGUCGGCGGCGUGGAUUAGGCAUGCGAGUCGCGCGAGAAUGUAGCAAUACAGGACAGCGGCGAAAGGGAGAGGACAACACGGGAAUCUGCCUUGGGGACGAGGAUAGCGUCGGGAAACUGACAGUAAUACUCGAUAAUAUUUGCGGACCAAAGGUGUGAUUCCGCCCCAAGAUGAGCCCGUGCCCCAUUAGCUAGUUGGCAGGGUAAUGGCCUACCAAGGCUGUGAUGGGUAGCUGGUGUGAGAGCACGACCAGCCUCACUGGCACUGAGACACUGGCCAGACACCUACGGGUGGCUGCAGUCGAGAAUCUUCGGCAAUGGACGCAAGUCUGACCGAGCGACGCCGCGUGCGGGAUGAAGGCCUUCGGGUUGUAAACCGCUGUCGUAGGGAAUCAAAUGCAUGGGGGUACUCCUCUAUGUUUGAGAGAUCCUAGGAGGAAGGAGAGGCUAAGCUCGUGCCAGCAGCCGCGGUAAGACGAGCUCUCCAAACGUUAUUCGGUAUUACUGGGCUUAAAGAGUUCGUAGGCGGCUCUGUAGGUGAGAUGUGAAAGCCCUCGGCUUAACCGAGGAACUGCGUUUCAAACCACAGGGCUUGAGGGAGAUAGGGGUAAGCGGAACAGAUGGUGGAGCGGUGAAAUGCAUUGAUAUCAUCUGGAACACCGGUGGCGAAGGCGGCUUACUGGGUCUUUUCUGACGCUGAGGAACGAAAGCUAGGGUAGCGAACGGGAUUAGAUACCCCGGUAGUCCUAGCCGUAAACGAUGAGCACUAGUCUGAGGGACUCUCACAGUUUCUCGGACGUAGCGAAAGUGUUAAGUGCUCCGCCUGGGGAGUAUGGUCGCAAGGCUGAAACUCAAAUGAAUUGACGG
rnacentral:rRNA from 1 species